GGAGGAUCCUCGAGGCUCUGAUGAAGACUGUGCUCUUAUUUGUUUUGGUUUAGAGAGCUGUGACUAUUCAACCAAUUCCAGAAAAUUCUCUCCUCCAGACUGUAUCUCCAUGUAGUUCCUUCAAAUCCAUUCUGUUCAGCCCUCUGAUGUACAAGUGACUGCUGUUUGGACUGACAGUGUGCAGCAGAGGUGAUGUUGUGUGACUUCCAAGGCUAGCCCAUAGUGAGGAUGCAGCUUGUACAUGACUUGCUCUCCCUUGGAAUAUGUACCUUGGAAGUCCCGAGCCAUCAGGUCACUGACAAAAUGUUGAUGUCAGGAAGAUUAAAGAAGUCUUUACCCAAGAAAAAGAAGCUGCAUCCCAG